GACGAACGCUGGCGGCGUGCUUAACACAUGCAAGUCGAACGCUGAAGCCCAGCUUGCUGGGUGGAUGAGUGGCGAACGGGUGAGUAACACGUGAGUAACCUGCCCCCUUCUUUGGGAUAACGCCCGGAAACGGGUGCUAAUACUGGAUAUUCACUGAUCUUCGCAUGGGGGUUGGUGGAAAGGUUUUUUCUGGUGGGGGAUGGGCUCGCGGCCUAUCAGCUUGUUGGUGGGGUGAUGGCCUACCAAGGCUUUGACGGGUAGCCGGCCUGAGAGGGUGACCGGUCACAUUGGGACUGAGAUACGGCCCAGACUCCUACGGGAGGCAGCAGUGGGGAAUAUUGCACAAUGGGCGAAAGCCUGAUGCAGCGACGCCGCGUGAGGGAUGACGGCCUUCGGGUUGUAAACCUCUUUCGCUCAUGGUCAAGCCGCAGCUUUGGGUUGUGGUGAGGGUAGUGGGUAAAGAAGCGCCGGCUAACUACGUGCCAGCAGCCGCGGUAAUACGUAGGGCGCGAGCGUUGUCCGGAAUUAUUGGGCGUAAAGGGCUUGUAGGCGGUUGGUCGCGUCUGCCGUGAAAUCCUCUGGCUUAACUGGGGGCGUGCGGUGGGUACGGGCUGACUUGAGUGCGGUAGGGGAGACUGGAACCCCUGGUGUAGCGGUGGAAUGCGCAGAUAUCAGGAAGAACACCGGUGGCGAAGGCGGGUCUCUGGGCCGUUACUGACGCUGAGGAGCGAAAGCGUGGGGAGCGAACAGG
rnacentral:rRNA from 1 species